UGAGGAAUAUUGGUCAAUGGGCGAGAGCCUGAACCAGCCAAGUAGCGUGCAGGAUGACGGCCCUAUGGGUUGUAAACUGCUUUUAUGUGGGGAUAAAGUGCGUGACGUGUCAUGCAUUGCAGGUACCACAUGAAUAAGGACCGGCUAAUUCCGUGCCAGCAGCCGCGGUAAUACGGAAGGUCCGGGCGUUAUCCGGAUUUAUUGGGUUUAAAGGGAGCGUAGGCUGUCUAAUAAGCGUGUUGUGAAAUUUACCGGCUCAACCGGUGGCUUGCAGCGCGAACUGGUCGACUUGAGUAUGCAGGAAGUAGGCGGAAUUCAUGGUGUAGCGGUGAAAUGCUUAGAUAUCAUGACGAACUCCGAUUGCGCAGGCAGCUUACUGUAGCAUAACUGACGCUGAUGCUCGAAAGUGCGGGUAUCAAACAGG
rnacentral:rRNA from 1 species